UACAGAGGUGGCAAGCGUUAUUCGGAUUCACUGGGCGUAAAGGGUGCGCAGGCGGCCAAGUGUGUGAGGCGUGAAAGCCCGGGGCUUAACCCCGGAAUUGCACCUCAAACUACAUGGCUAGAGCAUUGGAGAGGGUAGCAGAAUUCAUGGUGUAGCAGUGAAAUGCGUAGAUAUCAUGAGGAAUACCAGAGGCGAAGGCGGCUACCUGGACAAUUGCUGACGCUCAGGCACGAAAGCGUGGGGAGCAAAAGGG
rnacentral:rRNA from 1 species